rnacentral:rRNA from 1 species
UUCCGGUUGAUCCUGCCGGACCUUACUGCUAUCGGGGUGGGACUAAAACAUGCUAGUCGAGCGCCUCCAAGCUAUGGUGAAGGCGCGGCGAACGGCUCAGUAACACGUGGCCAACCUACCCUCAGGACGGAGACAACCCCGGGAAACUGGGGCUAAUCCCCGAUAGGUGAGGACGCCUGGAAUGACCCCUCACCCAAAGGACGUUGAAACCAUGCUUUUCAGCGUCGCCUAAGGAUGGAGCCGCGGCCGAUCAGGUUGUUGGUGGGGCAAAGGCUCACCAAGCCUAUAACCGGUACGGGCCAUGAGAGUGGGAGCCCGGAGAUGGGCACUGAGACAAGGGCCCAGGCCCUACGGGGCGCAGCAGUUGCGAAACCUCCACAAUGCACGAAAGUGUGAUGGGGCUAACCCGAGUGCCGUCCGCUGAGGAUGGCUUUUCUCCGCUGUAAGGAGGCGGAGGAAUAAGGAGAGGGCAAGACUGGUGUCAGCCGCCGCGGUAAUACCAGCUCUCCGAGUGGUAGGGACGAUUAUUGGGCUUAAAGCGUUCGUAGCCGGCCUGGCAAGUCUUCCGUUAAAUCCAGCGACCCAAUCGCUGGGCCGCGGGGGAUACUACUAGGCUUGGGAGCGGGAGAGGCCGACGGUAUUCCCGGGGUAGGAGUGAAAAUCCUGUAAUCCCGGGAGGACCACCAGUGGCGAAGGCUGUCGGCUAGAACGCGUCCGACGGUGAGGGACGAAAGCUGGGGGAGCGAACCGGAUUAGAUACCCGGGUAGUCCCAGCUGUAAACGAUGCGGGCUAGGUGUCGGUGUGGCUACAAGCCACGCCGGUGCCGCAGGGAAGCUCUUAAGCCCGCCGCUUGGGAAGUACGGUCGCAAGGCUGGAAACUUAAAGGAAUUGGCGGGGAACCCCCACCAGGGUGGAAGCUUGCCGUUCCAUUUGAAGUCACCGCCGG